rnacentral:hammerhead_ribozyme from 1 species
AUCUACUGACGAGUCCCAAAUAGGACGAAAUCCACGUUUUAUAU